ACAUCACUGGCUCAGGGGACAAGGGUGUGGCCCGCCACCCCAUGCUGCAGCCAUCCUCACACGCCCUGCAUUAUAAUCCCUGAGCCUGUGGCCACCUACCGUGCCACAUGAGGGACUGGACCUCUCGGGAAGGUAAAACUUCCGCACAGAGGUGAAGUGGAGAAGGAAGGAGUUUGAGUUUAGCUUCAAUUUCAGUCUGGGAUCCAGAUACUCCACAGCACCUCCUCUGAGCGCUGCUGUACCAGAGAAGAUCCAGGGACUGGCCUUGCCCGCACUGCCUCUGGUGGAGCUGCUGGCGUCUACCCUGCCACAGAAGGCCCUGAGUGGGGAGCAGGUGCCCCAGGAGAGACCAAUGUUAUCCCGCGGCCCUCUGUCAGCGUGAUAGAAGUCUGUCCUGUCAGGGAAGACCCCAAGUCUGCAGCAGGGACUCCCCGGGAGUCCCAUAAAGCCUGACGGCUCCGAGGUGGGCAGGGGCCCUGCUGCUCUCUGGGUGCAGGGCAGCCCCCAUCCUCCGAGGUCCUCUUCCUCCACGCAGACACCAGUGGCAGUCUGUGGCCUGGCUGUCUCCAAGGGGGGAGCGCUGGACUCUGCAGGCAGAGUCAAGGACACGCAGGGCACCAUGCACCACCCUGAUUUGCACUAUGCCUCUCACUCCGCCUCAAAGCCAUACUUUAAAGGCAUUUGUAGUUUCCAAAUACAUCCACAUGGCGCUCCAAGGUUCACGACAGCCUCGGUGUGAUGUUUUCCCUUGUGUUAAUUAGCACUGUCGGUAACUGGUGUGAGCUGAGGCUUAUAUGAAAUUCUUCAAAAUAUGUUAGGAAGCUGGAGGACAUAAUAAAAAUUUACUUUUUUGGUGAUAAGCUUGAAA